AUGCCUUCUAGUGAGACUAAAGGCUUAGACUUGAUGGUCCACAGAGUAUGGAAUUCUCUUGAGGAUGACAAUGCUGGAGUAAUUGGUUUAUAUGGAAUGGGUGGGGUCGGAAAAACAACUCUUAUGAAAAGAAUUCACAAUGAAUUAGGAAAGAGGGAGCAUAGUUUUGAUCUAGUGUUAUGGGUAGUGGUUUCUAGAGAUUGUUAUAUCAAUAAAGUAAUGAAUGACAUGAGCAAUAAAUUGAUGAAAGUUUUUGGAAUAGAAGUACUCAAGACCAAAGAGUAG